GUAUUCCAGCUGUCCUGAGAAAUAUUUCCCAUUGGUUAACAGAUUAGCACACAGGGGGUCGCUGUGAGACCUAGUCCAUUUGUCUGUGACACAAAGUGUAUUUCCUUUUCUGGCCUCUGCAGUCUCCUCUUGUAACUCUUCUCCUCAGAAUUGUCAAAAAGAAGUUCAAGGGCUCUUGCAGACGGAAAAGGGAUAAGCAUACCGCUAGCACAGCUGCUAAACUUUUGCAAAAGCAGAGAUAUGAUCAUUUUCAAAGGCAUCACAUCCAAAGUAAACUUCUGUCUUUGCUCUUCUGUGCACCAGGGAACGAAAAGGACACAGCUGUGGACGUGGAAAAGGGCAGAUUUUGCAGGACUAUUAAACAAAAAUUUUUAAAACGGCCAUGCCGCUCUCUUUCCCCUUCAUGGUUUUGUUAAUUGUUUGUUCAAAAAGGACCUGGGCAGACUCAGUAACGCAAACAAAAGGCACCGUUCCCAUCCAGGAAGGAAGACGUGUACUUCUCCACUGCACCUAUGAUUACUCUGGGUCUACUCCUAUGCUCUUGUGGUACGAGCAGUAUCCCCAUGAGGCCCCUCGCCUGUUGCUGGCACAAUACGAAGCCUCAGACGAGGAGGAGAAGAGACGCAGACGAGGGUUCUCUGCUAAACUGGAGAAAGACUCCAAAUCCUUCCACCUGGAGAAAAACUCCAGCGAAGUGAGCGACUCUGCUGUCUAUUACUGCGCCAUGAGAGACACAGAGAGCAAAGCCACCGGGGGAGCUGUACAAAAACCCCACUGA